rnacentral:rRNA from 1 species
AUUGAACGCUGGCGGCAUGCUUUACACAUGCAAGUCGGACGGCAGCACAGAGAAGCUUGCUUCUUGGGUGGCGAGUGGCGAACGGGUGAGUAAUAUAUCGGAACGUACCGAGUAAUGGGGGAUAACUAAUCGAAAGAUUAGCUAAUACCGCAUAUUCUCUGAGGAGGAAAGCAGGGGACCUUCGGGCCUUGCGUUAUUCGAGCGGCCGAUAUCUGAUUAGCUAGUUGGUGGGGUAAAGGCCUACCAAGGCGACGAUCAGUAGCGGGUCUGAAAGGAUGAUCCGCCACACUGGGACUGAGACACGGCCCAGACUCCUACGGGAGGCAGCAGUGGGAAAUUUUGGACAAUGGGCGCAAGCCUGAUCCAGCCAUGCCGCGUGUCUGAAGAAGGCCUUCGGGUUGUAAAGGACUUUUGUCAGGGAAGAAAAGGCUGUUGCUAAUACCGACAGCUGAUGACGGUACCUGAAGAAUAAGCACCGGCUAACUACGUG